UUAAUAAUAAUAAUAAUAAAUAAUAUCAUAUAUAAAAUAUAUAUCCGUUAUAUUUGUACAUGUAUGUAUGCAUACGUAUAGACAGCUGUAUGAACAGCAAGCGAGGUACUGGCGUGUAUAUGUAUGACCGCCGGUAUAGAUGCCGCUUUAAACACUCGCAAAUAUCUCACAUGCAUCUUAUAUUCGCUUUACCAUUCUACUGUUAGUGGAUCUUCGUUGCGAGAAUGUUGUCAGCGGUGUUAGAAUACACGCUAAGCACUUCGGUUCGAUGAGAGCUAUAGCUAAAAGAGCGAGAUAUAGACAUAUAUAGUUGUGUGUAUAUAUAAAUAUAUAUAUAUAUUUAUAUAUAUAUAUAUAUAUAGAUAUAUAUACACACACAUACGCACAUACGCACUCACAUUUAUAUAUAUAUAUAUAUAUAUAUAUGUUUCGGUGUGUGUGUGUAUACAUAUAUGUAUAUACAUGUGUGUGUAUAUAUCUAUAUCGAUAUAAAUAUAUACAUAUUUCUCGUCAACUUCAUUGGAGCGAAUACAAGAAUUACCUACAACACCUGUAUAUUACUUAACACGAGUACACGUGCACUCCCCCACCACUCUACACACAAUCACAUAUGCAUAAACACACAUAAAUUUGUAAAUAUAUAUAUAGAUAUAGAUAUAUAUAUACACACAUACACAUUCAUACAUACUCAGAAAAAAUACGCAUCUAACACAGAUUUGCACACAUCUAACAGAAACGUGAGUGUGAGUAUAUAUAUAUAUAUAUAUACAAUCGCACACACAUACAUAUAUACAUAUAGUGCCAUAGUUGUUUUUGUUUUUUUCUUUUGAUUUUUGUUUGUUUGUUUUUUUCCAAACACCUCCUAUAGAAGUUAGAUUUCAAACAUACACAAGAGAGCUUUUCGUUGUCACAUCAGUUAACCCUUACCGAAGCCUACACACACGAAUACAUAUACAUACAGACAGCCUCAUAACCACCACCACCACCACCACCCGUCUCACACACAUGCACACAGACAGACACACACACACGCCCUCCACACGUCGUACGCAUAUACAUGUAGAUAUAUAAAUAUAUAUAUCUAUCCAUAUAAAAACAUAAGCACAUGCACUGGUACAUACACGCAUCUCGCACACACGUACGCACACUUUAAAACCAUAUAACCACACAAGCAUUCGCCCAUAACGAAGCCGACACACCUGUCAUUGAGGAGUACAUGUACGCAUACACGUCUACACAAUUAUACACGUAUUUGUAUGAUAUAUAAUCUAUAUAUAUAUACAUAUAUAUAUAUAGAUUGAAAAAUAUAUAUACACAUUCAGUUAAAGCGUUUGCCACCCAGAAACAUAUAUGUAUAUACCCGCGUAUAAGGAUUCUCUCCAGAACCGAUGGCUCGCUUUAUGUGGAUUAUGAAAGAAAUAACGGUCUGGAUUUUAACACCUUUGAUUCAAUUAAUUACCUUGCACACAUUACCAGUUCUUUCUUUGGAGGAUACAGUGCUAGGUUCACUUUACGCAAUGACCUCAACACCACCUAUGCCAAGUUUCCUCCCGACGCCUACAAACGUAACCUUCCUUCGUGGGGAGCUGGCUACGUUGAGAUGUGCUGUAAUAAAUCUGGGAACGAAAUUUGUG